AUGCAUUUCAUUUUUAACUUGCAUCACAAAAAUAAACUACAGAAAUUAGGUUUCAUUGACAAUAUGACAUUUAAAAAAUAUAUUGGAAAAACUGUAAUGUACUCAUUUUUUUCCCACUGUUUUCUCUUGGCUAAUGAAGAAUGUAUUUGUUUGAGUUUGAUGUCCUCCCUGUCCACUCGCUCCCACACCUGUCUCAGAAAACUUCACAAAUAAACCAUGCCAGUUAACAACAAAAACACAUGCUCACUUUCUCCAGAAUAGUAUUAAAACAAAAGAAAAUGGAAACACUUAUGAACAAAGACAAGUUUGCAAUCUUAACAUUAGAAAAUAUGACACAGCAGGACAUGCAUACAAAAUACUGAAGUUUGGUUAAAACAUUUGUAGACAUCUCUUGCAUGACAGCACUUCAAAAACACAACAAAGGGAAAGACCAUUGCCUUAUAUAGUGGUUGUCUUAUUGUUUGUGGGCUUUAUGUUAAAAAAAACCCCGGGCUUUAAACACUUUCGCUAGGUAUUUGAGUAAAUGAAAACAGAAUACUUACAUUUCAAUGUGAAGUCCUCCAGAGAACUCUCACCUGCCUCUGAAUAUAAACACCUUCGUCAUAUGCACGCAAGUGAUUCUGGGAUAUGGCAGGGUGUGAAGUGUCCAUUAGAUGUAAACUUCAUUUUCAUGGGAAACGAAGGGCGCAUUUGAUGUCGCUUUUGAAACUCGUCAGCCUUCGUCGCGCCGCGGUGACGCAUUCGCAAUUCAAAUGCGGUCUUCGAAGUGGCAUUCUGACUUUGGGACAGCUUACGUCGUGACGCUGUGAUGCAAUCGCACUUCACAUCCGCACUUCGGAGUCCACACACUUCAGUUUGGGACACCCUUCGUCGUGCCACUGUGACGCAUUCGCACUUCAAAUGCGCACUUCGGAGUCCAUGCACUUAAGUUUGGGACACAGCUAGUGUGUGGGUUCCCGUUAAGCACACUGACUUUGCAUGACAGGUACCCAAUUUCCAUGUUGGAAGGUAAUCAGCUAAUAAUAAGGUGAGUGCUAAAGGAGAGUGCUAAAGCCUUUGACGUGUUGGCAGUAGCCAUGAGAGACAGCAAUCAGCAAAGCAACAUUAGCCAGGACCACAACCAUUGCAACCUCUAUAAAAAGCUUACGGAGAGGAAAGCUACUCAACCAGACAAUAAGCCAGUAGAAUGACUGGUAAGAAGAAUGUUAACUCACCUCACAGUCAGUCCGAUAGAUGGAGGACAGAAGGGUGAAGGGGCUUGCAGCAGGCCAACAACCAAGAGUUCUUAAUGGCAACAGGAAAAAUAUGCAAAGUGAAGCGGAAAAAAAAAGUAUAGUCCAGUUUGCCAAAGUCCAUCAAGCUGCGAGGAGAAAGUGAGUCCAGUUUGUAGAUGAGGCAGAAUAGGAUCUGAAGAAAAAAAAAAAGAAAAGAAAAAAAAAACAAAACACUGGGGUUCUAUGGAGACAGAUGAGUCUCAAAUAUAAUUCACGCAAAAAACACGAAUCCAACAUGCGUAAACAAUUUCACAUGCAUGAAACCUAAUUCACGUACACACAAAAAAAAUUCACGUGCGUGAAAAAAAAAUAUAUAUUUACAAAAAGCAAUUCACAUGCGCAAAAUAAAAUUAUAUAUUCAUAAAAUACAUUUCACAAAUGCAAAACACAAUUCGUAGAUAUACAACUGUGCACAAAAACCUUUGAAUGUUUAAAAUGUACGAGUGUCUGAAUGUACAAAUCGUAAUUUACUACGAAUCCACUCGGAUUUGUGUGUGUGUGUUUUUGAGACUUUCCUGGCAGAGCUCUCUUCCCACGUGGGUCUGUCGUACCCUUUAGCCAAUCAGAUGCGAGCUUACCAUUCAACCAAUCAUAUCAUAAGCCACCGAGAGACUUAUCUGUCUCCAUAGGGUUCUUUCCAGAUCAAAGAGCAGAUCAAAAAAAAAAAAAAAAUGACCACAGACAAACAAACAACACAGCGUGGAGUGGCAGCCAGAUUAUUAUUAUUGUGGAAUGUCAUAUACUUGUCAAGGGCAACCUUUGGGCUUCUUUGCCAAUUUGACUGGAGAUUGAAUGCCAACCAGAAUGAUUUAUUUGGAAAACUGACUGUAAAUGUUUUGAGUAUUUAUCUUCUUCAUUCAUUCUGCCAGAUGUAAGCUGUGGUCUUAGAUACUCUUGGUGUCUUGAUUUAUAGUGCUGUUUUUGUAGUACCUUUAUCACAUUAAAUUUGGAAUAUGUUGUGCACUACUUUUC
ensembl:lncRNA